AGGAGCCUAGAAAAACCUAAAGGGAACCAGGCUCUGAGGGGUGGCCAGUUCUCUUCUGUCUGCAGGUAGAGAUAAUUAACUGUUAUGUGCCAAUUUUUCUAAAUCCUCCUUUGAUCAUGUUCAAUUAGCAAGUUAUACUGCAAGCUGCACUUCACACACGUAAAAAUGGAAUGAAUCAUCGGAGGACAUUCAAUUCACAUCUGGGUCAGAAUGGAGCCGGGUUCAGGAGGGUCAGGGACACAGACUCCUGACUGUGCACAACAGAAGGCCUGCAGAGCCAGUCACCAGGUACCUUCAGCUCCCGCCUGAGGAAGAGCCUGAGCUGGCCCCUGAGUGUGACCCGGGCUGUGUGUGACUCCCCCCGCCUCCUGUCUCGCUGGGUGCAUGGUACGGCCCAUGCUGUGGGCCUCCACUUUAGAGCCAAUGUGCAGGACUAUUUCUUCCUGUAUGAGCUGCUGAGCCUGGGAGUGCCCCUGCUGUUCAUGCUCCAGGAGGUGCUGCUGCAGAUGUACUCUGAAACCGGGCCUGUCUCACAGUCCAUCCAGCCCCUACUGCUGUGGCUGGAGGAACACCUAGGUCACAGGCUCAUGUAGAGGCCCACCAGGGAGGGAAGCCUAAUCCUAACCCUAUCCCUAACCCUUGUGCAAUAGGGUCUGAAGCCUGGCCGAACAUUAACUGGCGUAUCUUGCAUUUGUUCCAUGUCAUAUGAUGGCAAGCUACUGUUUGACCAUGUGUACAAGCACCUUGUUAAUAUUUUCUCACAGAAUAUGUAGCUGUCAGUGCAUUAGAUCUAGUCCUACACCAACCAAAGAACAAAUAACAUUUCCCAAGUGGUAGCUUGGUUUGUGAUACGUGUGAUGUUUUCAUGAACAUUACAUUUUUCUUUAUGAUGAGGGGUAAUGUGCUGUACAUGGUUUCAUGGUGGUCUAAAUCAUUUACGGUAUGUGGCUGAUAUGACUGCUGAAAUCAUCCAAUCUAUAUUGCUAUAGAGUUGAGUCUUUCAACAACUGGCUGUCAAAAUCGAGCCAGUUUUUACAUGGCUUAGCUCAGGUUAUGACAGAUUUUUUGUGUGGAAAAAGUAAUCUAAAUGAAAAGACUGACUUGAAGCACUUUAACUUGGGGAGCUGCCUUAGCCUGUGGCUGAUGCCUGAUGAAUGGUGUGGGAGUUAAUGGCUGCCUAAUGGCUGUCCAGGCCUUGGAUAAUGACUAGUGCUGACGCUGCACGUUUACUAAACCCUGCUGAACUCACAGGUCAGGGUCGGGGUCGGGGUCGGGGGCCAACGUGGAUCUGUGCUCGACAAGGUUUUCUCAUCUUUUUUUCAAUUUCAAUAUUAUUUUACACAAAUUAAAAUGUUUAUGUUUUUAUUAUAAGAUCUCGUAUGACACCAUGACCGUAGUGUACUUUCGCUACACAUUAUGAUAACUUUUAUUGCUUUAUUUUAUGGCCCAGUGCCUCCAGUAUUUUUGUGCAUUGUCCGUUGUUCUUAAAAAGGAGAAGAGCUUUCAUGGCCAUGGGCUUUGGUUUACUACACCCGUUCAUGGACUGUUUAAUGCUUACUCGUUGCUGCCACCUGUUGGUGAAACAGAUGUAUGGCCAAAUUCAAUUUACUGUAUGAUGAGGUGGAAUAAGAGACAAUCUUCUAAAGAGUUGUUGUAUGUUUGUAAUGGAGGAGGUUUUUCUACAUUUUUGUUAUUUGUACAGGUCUAUUUCACUUCAAUAUGUUUUUCAUAAUGUUAAGAAUAUUGCUGAAAGGAAUUGUUCAGAAGGACUGAAUCUGACAUGAUAACACAGGCUAUGUUUGAAUGCUGUGGUGUGUAUGUGCUUGCCACUAAUCUCACUGUUAAUAAGCAUGUUAAGUAUGAUAGCAGGAUCAGUUGGUGCACUUUAAAAAUGAGAAGUGUUUUCAGCCCUAACCAGAAGUUACAUCAUUCAUGCAGUACACUGUACAGUGCUAAAUUGCAUGUUGUUGAAUAGCACAAUCUCAUGUUAUCUAACAAUUGCAAAGUUUCUAUGCAUUUUAACUGGAUUUGAUCCUUCCUCUGAUUUUUCUCUGUAUUCUAACCUACUAUAUUUCCUUCCUUUCAUUUCUAUUCUUGUUCACUUGAAGUCUAUUUUCAACUUUCUGAUGAUGAGCCUCCUGAUUGGUUAGGAGACAUGCCAUUCUGAAGGUGAUCACCUGCAUGGUCACAUGGUUUUGUGAAUAAUGUUUUGGAGUGGAUGCUUUGUUAGAUUAGUCCAAUUACUGUCAGCAUUUCCACACACAAGUAAAAAAUGCUUCUAACCCCUGUGUUUGAGCUACACACAGCAGUUUUUAGCAUUGGAUUUUUCUAUUUCGUCUGCAUCCGGCGAUAUUAGAUCCCAAUAACGGUUCUUCUCACAAAAAUAUCUAAUCUACAAACUAUUAUGACCGUACUAUGAAAGGCUGAGACUCUCACAAACACGCACAUGUAAUCUGGUCUGCUCUAUGACACCCAUAAGCCAAUCAAGAGUUGUUAGGAGGUAAGGGGUUCUUCUUCGUAGAUCAUAGGAAAUCUCAGGACAUAGUGUCUAUAAACUCACAUAGUUGCUGUCACAAACUCCAUACUCCACACAGUUAUCACUGACUAGUUGGAUAUUCAUUUCCCACUAAGCUAACCAUUUAUGAAUUUACAAUUGUAAUUAUUAUAUAUUCAUUUUUAAUCAGCUUUUUGGGGGCUGGACCUUGUUUUUUUUAUUGACAUUUGUCAAUAAAACUCAUGAAUGCAACUGUUUAUGUCAAAUGUUAUGUUCUACUUGUAGCCCUGGUUGUCCUGAAAAUAAAAUGGUAAAACACUUCAAUGUGAGGCUAAAUAUGUGGGAAUCCCUGGAACCUAUGAAGUUAUUAAACUACUAAUGUCUGUGUCCUGCACCCCCAGCAGAACCAUAACCACAGCACACACUUGUUAGAGGUUGAAACACAUCAUAAUACCAUGAUAUUCAAAGUCACACUUUCUAAGAGACUGUCUUUUCAGUGUUUGCAUGCAUAACAAGGAAACUGUGGUGUUUGGGCUGCUUUGGUCUUCCCAAGUGCACGUUGAAAGAUUGACAGACAGAUUUCUGUCAUGUAAAUGCAUGCCACUUUUUCUCCCAUCUUUCUUUCUCUCUUCCAGAAGCUGUCACCCAGGAUAACUUUUUCUUGAGCCACACAAACAAAGGGAAUGAAUCUCCCAACCGGUUCAUAAGUCAUGUUGUCUUAAAUGAAUACAUUGAAUAAUGUUUUAUGGGACUUCAAAUGCAGCCUGCUUUUCUCAUGGAGACUCUGUGUUGCUUUAUGUAUGACCUAAAGCAACAAAUGUAAAUAAAUUACCUGAGUGAUUUGUCAUCUUGA